GAAGACGUGGCAGGAGCUUGGCAGUUAAUGACCCGAGGUCCACCCCAGGCCGGCAACAGAG
rnacentral:SRP_RNA from 14 species